UACGUAGGGUGCAAGCGUUGUCCGGAAUUAUUGGGCGUAAAGAGCUCGUAGGCGGUUCGGUAAGUCGGGUGUGAAAACUCUGGGCUCAACCCAGAGCCGCCACCCGAUACUGCUGUGACUUGAGUUCGGUAGGGGAGCGGGGAAUUCCUGGUGUAGCGGUGAAAUGCGCAGAUAUCAGGAGGAACACCAGUGGCGAAGGCGGCUUCCUGGACCGACACUGACGCUGAGGCGCGAAAGCUAGGGGAGCAAACGGG
rnacentral:rRNA from 1 species